rnacentral:rRNA from 1 species
AGAUUGAACGCUGGCGGCAUGCCUAACACAUGCAAGUCGAACGGGAGUAGCAAUACUCUAGUGGCGGACGGGUGAGGAAUACGUAGGAAUUUGCCCUUAAGUGGGGGAUAACCCGGGGAAACCCGGAUUAAUACCGCAUGACCUCGAAAGAGCAAAGUGGGGGAUCGCAAGACCUCACGCUUUUGGAGAAGCCUACGUCGGAUUAGCUAGUUGGUGAGGUAAUGGCUCACCAAGGCGACGAUCCGUAACUGGUCUGAGAGGAUGAUCAGUCACACCGGAACUGAGACACGGUCCGGACUCCUACGGGAGGCAGCAGUGGGGAAUAUUGGACAAUGGGCGCAAGCCUGAUCCAGCAAUGCGCGUGUGUGAAGAGGCUUCGGUUGUAAGCACUUUAAGUAGGAAGAAAAACUCGACUACGUAACACAGUGAGUCUUGACGGUACCGUACAGAAGUAAGACCACGUCUAACGUCUGU